AUCUAAGUACCCCGAGGAAAAGAAAUCAACCGAGAUUCCCCCAGUAGCGGCGAGCGAACGGGGAGGAGCCCAGAGCCUGAAUCAGCAUGUGUGUUAGUGGAAGCGUCUGGAAAGGCGCGCGAUACAGGGUGACAGCCCCGUACACAAAAGCGCAUAUGCUGUGAGCUCGAUGAGUAGGGCGGGACACGUGGUAUCCUGUCUGAAUAUGGGGGGACCAUCCUCCAAGGCUAAAUACUCCUGACUGACCGAUAGUGAACCAGUACCGUGAGGGAAAGGCGAAAAGAACCCCGGCGAGGGGAGUGAAACAGAACCUGAAACCGU
rnacentral:rRNA from 1 species